GAUGAAGAACGUAGCGAAAUGCGAUAAGUAGUGUGAAUUGCAGAAUUCAGUGAAUCAUCGAAUCUUUGAACGCACAUUGCGCCCCUUGGCAUUCCAUGGGGCAUGCCUGUUCGAGCGUCAUUUGUACCUUCAAGCUUUGCUUGGUGUUGGGUGUUUGUCCCGAGGGACUCGCCUUAAAGUAAUUGGCAGCCAGUGUUUGGUUUUGAAGCGCAGCACAAGUCGCGAUUCAAGGCUACACGCCCGCUUCCACAAGCCUUUUUUCACUUUUGACCUCGGAUCAGGUAGGGAUACCCGCUGAACUUAAGCAUAUCAAUAAGCGGAGGA
rnacentral:misc_RNA from 1 species